AUACAAGCAAUAGAACAAUAAGGGGAAACAAGUGAUUAGGUACAUUCAUAGUGUGCUGGCUUUGAUAUAAUAUGAUGAGUAGCAACCAAAUGCAACGCUAAAGCGUCCAAAGCUUGAGAAUCACAUCAAUGUCGUAUUUACAAGCUAUUAGAGCUCUUUUGCAUCUAAUUCCUCUAGAAAUUAACAAAUGGAUGAU